rnacentral:rRNA from 1 species
CUGCGGAAGGAUCAUUAUCGAACAAGAAGGGGGAAAGACUGUCGCUGGCGAAAGCAUGUGCACGUCCAACCUUUUCUAUUACACACCCGUGCACCUUUUGUAGGUCCUCGAAAGAGGAUCUAUGUAUUUCAUCAUCACACCUAUCGUAUGUCUAGAAUGUCAUCGUCGACCACUGGGCGGCGAAAUAAAUAAUACAACUUUCAGCAACGGAUCUCUUGGCUCUCGCAUCGAUGAAGAACGCAGCGAAUUGCGAUAAGUAAUGUGAAUUGCAGAUUUUCAGUGAAUCAUCGAAUCUUUGAACGCACCUUGCGCUCCUUGGUAUUCCGAGGAGCAUGCCUGUUUGAGUGUCAUUAAAUUAUCAACCUUGUUCGCUUUUACGAGCUUGAGCGAGGCUUGGGUGUGAGGGCUUGCUGGCUUCCUUCAGUGGAUGGUCUGCUCCCUUUAAAUGCAUUAGUGGGAUCUCUUGUGGACCGUCACUUGGUGUGAUAAUUAUCUAUGCCAUUUGACUGUGAAGCAAAAUUAUGGGAACCUGCUUAUAACCGUCUCGCAAGGGACAAUUUAAUUGACUAUUUGACCUCAAAUCAGGUAGGACUACCCGCUGAACUUAAGCAUAUCAAUAAGCGGAGGAAAAGAAACUAACAAGGAUUCCCCUAGUAACUGCGAGUGAAGCGGGAAAAGCUCAAAUUUAAAAUCUGGCGGUCCCUGUGGCCGUCCGAGUUGAAU